rnacentral:rRNA from 1 species
CAGGUGGUGCAUGGUUGUCGUCAGCUCGUGUCGUGAGAUGUUGGGUUAAGUCCCGCAACGAGCGCAACCCUUAAGCUUAGUUGCCAUCAUUAAGUUGGGCACUCUAAGUUGACUGCCGGUGACAAACCGGAGGAAGGUGGGGAUGACGUCAAAUCAUCAUGCCCCUUAUGAUUUGGGCUACACACGUGCUACAAUGGACAAUACAAAGGGCAGCGAAACCGCGAGGUCAAGCAAAUCCCAUAAAGUUGUUCUCAGUUCGGAUUGUAGUCUGCAACUCGACUACAUGAAGCUGGAAUCGCUAGUAAUCGUAGAUCAGCAUGCUACGGUGAAUACGUUCCCGGGUCUUGUACACACCGCCCGUCACACCACGAGAGUUUGUAACACCCGAAGCCGGUGGAGUAACCU